AGCAGCCGCGGUAAUUCCAGCUCCAAUAGCGUAUAUUAAAGUUGUUGCAGUUAAAAAGCUCGUAGUUGAACUUCAGGCCUGUCCAGACGGUCCGCCUUAAUUGGUGUGUACUGUCCUUGGGUGGGUCCUACCUUCUGGCGAAGCGGCAUGGCCUUAAUUGGUUGUGUCGGGGAACCAGGACUUUUACUGUGAAAAAUUAGAGUGUUCAAAGCAGGCAAAUAUGCUCGAAUACAUUAGCAUGGAAUAAUGGAAUAGGACGAUGGUUCUAUUUUGUUGGUUCUAGGACCGUUGUAAUGAUUAAUAGGGAUAGUUGGGGGCAUUAGUAUUCAAUUGUCAGAGGUGAAAUUCUUGGAUUUAUUGAAGACUAACUACUGCGAAAGCAUUUGCCAAGGAUGUUUUCAUUAAUACAAGAACGAAAGUUAGGGGAUCGAAGACGAUCAGAUACCGUCGUAGUCUUAACCAUAAACUAUAGCCGACUAGGAA
rnacentral:rRNA from 1 species